AUAAGGACAGAUAAAUUCCAGGCCAGAAAAAUAGAGGGAGUAAAAACACUGACGUAGAAAUGCAUUCAACAUAUUCAGAGACUAAUGAAUGUAUCUGUAUGAAAACUGCAAAGGAUUUGUAGAACAGGUAUAAAAAAAGGAUAGAAAAGUAGGUGAAGGAAGAUGCUAGCCAUUGCAUCUAGCAUAUUGCACCUUCUCAAUCUAUUCUACCUAUGUCUUUGUUAAAGGGAUAGCUCUCGCCGACCUUGUUUGCGGGUGACCCAAACCUGCCCUUCUCCCUUUCUCCACCUCCCUCAUCUGAUUGGAUCAGGAGUGGACACCUCAAAAAACGUGAAUGAAUCAGAUUAUCUGCUCCAGAAACUUGGAACAGGAACAUUGUGAAACUGAGCCACUUAUCUCUGGGAAGCAAAACAGCAAGAACAUGGAGCCAAAGUCAGUGCUGUGGCAAACUAAAGGCAGGUGUAAACUGUAGUUAUUAUGGGAAAGCAGAAGGAAGUGUCCUGCAGAGGAAAUCUAAAUGAAAUGGGAAAUGGAGCCAAACAUACAGAGAAAUACAUGGUAGAAUGUCUAAACGGGUAGUCUCUGGGACUAAGCCACCAGGAAUCAAUCCUAGCUCUUCCUUUAACAAGAAAGGUAAUAUUGAGAAAGUUACUAAACCUCC
rnacentral:lncRNA from 1 species